rnacentral:rRNA from 2 species
CAGGGAAUCUUGCGCAAUGGGCGAAAGCCUGACGCAGCAACGCCGCGUGGGGGAAGAAGGCCUUCGGGUUGUAAACCCCUUUCAGGAGGGAAGAAAAUGACGGUACCUCCAGAAGAAGCACCGGCCAACUACGUGCCAGCAGCCGCGGUAAUACGUAGGGUGCGAGCGUUAUCCGGAAUCAUUGGGCGUAAAGAGCUCGUAGGCGGUUCAACAAGUCGGCUGUGAAAGUCCGGGGCUCAACCCCGGAAUUGCAGUCGAUACUGUUGUGACUUGAGUCCGGUAGAGGAGAAUGGAAUUCCCGGUGUAGCGGUGGAAUGCGCAGAUAUCGGGAGGAACACCAGUAGCGAAGGCGGUUCUCUGGGCCGGCACUGACGCUGAGGAGCGAAAGCGUGGGGAGCAAACAGG